GGCGAACGGGUGAGUAACACGUGGGUGAUCUGCCCUGCACUCUGGGAUAAGCCUGGGAAACUGGGUCUAAUACCGGAUAGGACCAUGCUUUAGUGUGUGUGGUGGAAAGGUUUUCGGUGUAGGAUGAGCCCGCGGCCUAUCAGCUUGUUGGUGGGGUAAUGGCCUACCAAGGCGGCGACGGGUAGCCGGACUGAGAGGUUGGUCGGCCACAUUGGGACUGAGAUACGGCCCAG
rnacentral:rRNA from 1 species